UAUAAUAUACAAGGUGGCGCUGUAUCCUAGUCGGGAUCACCGGUUACCAGGAAGGGCCUAAAAAUCCUUUGAAGGGCAUAUCGGUGAAGUCCCUGGUGCUUGCUUGUUUCGCCCAGAUUCGGGUGGGUGCUGGGGGUUAAGGUUUCCGGGCGGCCUCCAAUGGCAUGGAGGUGACGACCCGGUUUCCGCGGAGACCUGCUUCUGUGCGACCGCCGCGCGGCUUGCCGCGGACAGGGACGGCGUACGGGGCAGGAGAUGAACCUGUAUUGCGGUGCAGUUAGUGUGCUGUGUGCAGUGUAGCCUGCCUUGCGUGAAUACGAUGGGGAAAGAGGAGCCAUGCGCGCUCACCUGUGGCCACAGGCAGAGACGAUAUUCUCUGGAAACCGUAUUUGCAAAAGAGGCUAAGAACCGGUGAGAUCCGAUGUGGAAAACACCUAGGCAGUCAGAUCAGGAUAGAAUGAGGAUUACAGUGCGGACUCAGUGGCAAUCGGGUACCGCGAACAGGCAACGGCGCGGCGCGGAUAUGAAAAGGGAACUGCCUUUCCGGCGACGGGAGGUUGUCCGCGGGGAAAGCCAACCCGACCUAAGCCGCAAGAUUUACUCAUUUUAUCGCCACCACUUCA
rnacentral:sRNA from 1 species